rnacentral:tRNA from 1 species
GCCUCGGUGGUCGAAUUGGCUAAGAUACUCGCCCCGGAAAGUCGAGAGAUUUCAGGUUCGAAUCCUGGCUGAGGUA